UACGAAGGGGGCUAGCGUUGCUCGGAAUUACUGGGCGUAAAGCGUGCGCAGGCGGUUAUGUAAGACAGGUGUGAAAUCCCAGGGCUUAACCUUGGAACUGCAUUUGUGACUGCAUAGCUAGAGUACGGUAGAGGGGGAUGGAAUUCCGCGUGUAGCAGUGAAAUGCGUAGAUAUGCGGAGGAACACCGAUGGCGAAGGCAAUCCCCUGGACCUGUACUGACGCUCAUGCACGAAAGCGUGGGGAGCAAACAGG
rnacentral:rRNA from 1 species